rnacentral:lncRNA from 1 species
UAUGAGUCUUGUAAUGGCUUUACUCUUUGAGUUGAGUUGAGAUGAGAUGAGAAGACAAGUAUCUAACUUAUUUAUUACCUAACCACACAGUCCUAACCCCAACCAUUCAUCACAACUAUUCAUCACAAUUCAGAAGCAUUCAUCACACGCGUUUUCUCUAACCACAACCUAACAAGCAUUUACUAACCUUAACAAGCAUUUACCAACUUCAUUACACACAGCCAACUUAACAAGCAUUUGCCAACUUCAUUACACACAGAGACAAAGCAUUUACCAGUUUGAGAUCGUGAGCGAGAGCUGACAGACACAUGGAUCAGACGGAGAAGCUCUCUAUGUUCCUCGUUUGACACUCUCAAGACCGUUCUUUUCCUGAACAAGAU